GCAGAUCCCAACACUCCAGGAUGGUGCAGGACAUCAGUCUCAAGGUAAUUGGUCACAGAGGCAUCUUCCUUCAUGUUCUCUGGGGGAGAGACUGACUGUGGGAAUCAGCCUUGGUUGCAAAGGGAAGCUGAGAGAAGAGAGCAGCGCAGGGCACGGACAUGCCAGCCCAGUUACUGGAGAUAUCUGCCGCUGGAGACGGGUUCAGAGCCUAGUUUAAUAUCCCGAAGCAGGAAAGCUGAGAAUGUGCUGGAAAUGCUUGUUGAGGCCGACGUGUCAGGCAGCCCAUCAGUGCAGGAUGGAGCCUCGGUUGCAGAGAACUGCAGGGAGGUGGUGUGGAAGCUCAUUGGCUGUAAGAACUGCUCCGCUGCGACAGUGCUGCUGGAGGUGGUGGUGAACAGAUUUCUGAUGCCAAGCUGAUCAUCGUCUCAGCACCAGCAAAGACAUGCUAUUCCCGUCCCUGACGAGCAUUUCCUUCUUGAGAAAGUGAUUUUGAGGGGCUGCAGAUGUACUUGGAGGAAGGUUUGGGCCGGGACAGAUGACGUGCCCAUGUGGGAGCUGGACGGCCCCUCUCUGGGUAGCUCCCUGGGAACUCCCAUGUCCGCCUCCCGCUGCCUCCUGAUCCAAGGUGGAUGCACUUCAUUUGAGGCCUGGUCUUUCGUCCUUCCCUCUCCUCUUCGGGGACCACUUUGUCUAGUGCUAGACUCAUUGUGCUUCCCCCUUGGGGCUUCCUUCAGCCCUCAGCCGAUUCAAGACUUCAAAAGGAAGUUGGACAUGGAGAGGAAAAAAGAAAUGAAACCAGGAAGGAACCGCCAAGAAGCACACAACGCGUUUAUGCUGCCUUAACCACACGCUUGACUCUAAAUGGGUUUAAAAAUUCUUACUUGUGUUAGCCCAAGAAAGUUUCUGCAGCCGUCUUUUUGGUUUAAACAAUCAAAUACUCAAUAAUUCUGGGGCUGGUGGGCCAGGAUAUGGGUUACUCAGAUCUUCUGCUUCACCCCAUGCUCGGUCCCUGAGCCAGUUCUGUCAUUGGUUCUUUCAGACCAGGGCAGGAAAAGUCAAGAAAGCAAAAGCGGAUUCUAGGCUGUGGGGUUUGCUGUUUGCUAGCCCCCUGGCAGAGAUGCCUGUCCUUGCAGUCCUGAACUGGUGGCCAAGUGUGCAUGCAUGCACGUGCAGGUGUGUGCAUGUGCAGGUGUGCAUGCGUGUAUGUGCGCACACACAUUCAUGCUUGUACAUGUUUGUGUACACGCACACUUUUUUCUGCUUUCAAUUUCAAGCUGUUGCCUCCCUGAUGUGUCUGUUUAGUGACUUGAGCCAGAAAGAUUCCCGGUUCUAUGUGGGAUGAGAAUGAACGCAGGCAGGUCUCCACAGAAGUGAGUAAAGUAGAGCUGAGAAGAAGGACAUUGUCUCAUGCCAGCCUGUCCAAUAGCCACUUUGCCCCAGCCCUGCCUCAAGCCCCAGAGAGAUGACAAGGCUCUCUCUGUUUGUCGACUCCUUGAAGCUCAGAAAGGUGGGUCAAGAGGUGCCCGUCAAGCGUUUAGGCAAGCACAGGACCCUGAUCUUUACUAAGUCUCCACAUCUCUCUUGCACAGCCCUGGGCUCAGGGCUUGGUCCCCUCUGGGCAGGCCAUCCAGACUAAGUGACAGUCAGAUUGUGUGUGGGGAGGCUAGAGACAUCCAUUCUUCAUGGAUCAGCCUGAAUGGCUGGACAGAUCUUGCAAAUGGAUUGUGUAAGACAGAGUGUGGAAGAGGAGGCUGUGAUCAGUGGCUUGGAGAGCAGAGUGUGGUCAGGCGCUAAACCUAAGGCUUUUCUGGGAAGAGCUGUUAAGAUUAGACUGUUCUCCCAAAAAGCCAAUAAUUCUGAGUGUCUCCAUUAAUGCCUAGGUAGCCCAUACUCUCACCCAGCCGGUGCCCUUCAGCCUGGAACCUUUGGAUGGAGGAUUGGACCUUGUGACCUUCAAGUUCCCUUCCGAACCAAAUAUGCUCUAACCCAGGAGAUGGUGCUGUUGCCCAGGAAGCCGGUCACCAUGACGAGAGUACCCGCUCAGAUGAGGAUGCAGGCGGAGGCGGUGAAGGUGCUGGAGGCCAGGAUGCUGAGGUACCUCCAGACACCACCCAGGCUGCAGCAAAUGGAAUGGGAGAGGCUAACACACCAUAAUUUUUCAAUUCCAUGAUGCCCAUUUUUUCUCACAUUUUAACGUCUCUAAAAUUGGGGCACAUCUUAUGAUUGAUGGCAUCUUACAAUUACACUUGGCAGUACUUUUUCUUGGUGAUACAAAAAAACAACAGUGUAUCUUACAACUGAUAGCUUAGAUUCAGUGAAAUCCUAGAAUACAACAGGUUUGAAAA
rnacentral:lncRNA from 1 species